GAUGAACGCUAGCGGGAGGCCUAACACAUGCAAGCCGAGCGGUAUUUGUUCUUCGGAACAGAGAGAGCGGCGCACGGGUGCGGAACACGUGUGCAACCUGCCUUUAUCUGGGGGAUAGCCUUUCGAAAGGAAGAUUAAUACCCCAUAAUAUAUUGAGUGGCAUCAUUUGAUAUUGAAAACUCCGGUGGAUAGAGAUGGGCACGCGCAAGAUUAGAUAGUUGGUGAGGUAACGGCUCACCAAGUCAAUGAUCUUUAGGGGGCCUGAGAGGGUGAUCCCCCACACUGGUACUGAGACACGGACCAGACUCCUACGGGAGGCAGCAGUGAGGAAUAUUGGACAAUGGGUUAGCGCCUGAUCCAGCCAUCCCGCGUGAAGGACGACGGCCCUAUGGGUUGUAAACUUCUUUUGUAUAGGGAUAAACCUACUCUCGUGAGAGUAGCUGAAGGUACUAUACGAAUAAGCACCGGCUAACGCCG
rnacentral:rRNA from 1 species